GCGGGCAGCCCGCGGAGGGUACACCACGUCCUUGCCGGGAGUAAACACUCUCGGUGCAAAGUCUGCAGCGUUUGUUGACUGGGCGGUGGGGGCUGCUCAUCAAAGGCGGCCCAGCGCCCUGCGGGCCAUUGCGGGCGGUGAGCUUUGGUCGGAGGCUCGUUGAUAAGCAGGGAGGACGUGUGAUCCCGGCCCGGGAGGGGCUCGGGCAGGAGGCGCCUCCCCCGCGGUCCGCUCCCGGAGCACCGGCUGCCCCGGUGCUGCCCAGGGACAAGGCCGACAGGCCGGCUCUGCCUCGCCGCCGCCUGAGGGAGGGUCUGUGUCCUCGCUGAGCCCAGCGCCCCCGCACGGGUCUCUCCAGGCUCAGCACCAGCCCCGGGUAUCCAGGGGAUCUGCGCGGGGAGGGGGUGGGGGUGUAGGUAGGUGCGGGGGCGGGGCGGGGAGGGAGAUAACCCUCGGCCACUCCCCCCAGAGCCUGGGGGCUGGUGCUGCUUCUAAGACCCCAGGGGCAGAAGGCGGGGCCUUCAGGGAACCCAGGAUUCAAGAACCCUUCCAGGCACCCUCCUCCACCGCGGAGGCGGAAGGUGGCUUCCUUCUAGAAUCUGCGAUCACAGCUUCUGGGGACCGCCAGAUCCCCGCCCCGCAAGUCUGAGCGUCAGUUACAGGCAAACCGAGCUGGUUGAUCACCCCAGUUAGUUCCCGGCCCACCUUGAGAGUAGGAGAGAGUGCCUUUCAUCCUGAGACCAGCAAGAGGGGCUUCAAGGACCCAGGCGAACAGGCGUCUCCUGCUGCUGGCUCCACGCUGGAUGCAUUAAAGGCCAAGGUCAUCCCUGUUGCUGCCCAGCUGGCUGUGGAACUGGACCGGUGGCUGUGUUUUCCGGAUGACUGGGCAAAGGUGUGCGCCCUGGUGGGUCAGGAACCAUCCAAGAAGUACCUAAGGCCCAGCAGAGAGCCUGAAAGAGAGAGAUAUGCACUCGGAAUCCCCCAAUCCUGGAGGGUCCCAGUCCCCUCCCGCCCUCCCUCCCGGAGGAGGACGGCAGAGGCCCAGCUGGCCUCCCCCGCUGUGGUUCCACUGCUGCUCGAAGCCUAGUGGAGCUGGAGGAGGGGAGAAGCCGUGACUGGGAAUAAACCUUCGUUUUGAUCAUUAAACCAGAACUGGAGUUGUAAUUCCUAAGCGGACACGGCCCUGGGACUAGAAGGGACCGGAGGAUUUACUGCCCAUGAGAGCGACCGGAGAGGUGUGGCAGCUGCCCAGGGGUCCAUCCAGCUGCUGGGGAAGGUCUCCGCCUCACCCCGAUCUCCUGUGUGUUUAGCUAAGGGCCCGUGGUGGAUGUGGCUCUCAACAGAGGCCAGGUG
ensembl:lncRNA